rnacentral:rRNA from 1 species
AUACGGAGGGUGCAAGCGUUAAUCGGAAUUACUGGGCGUAAAGCGCGCGUAGGCGGUUUGGUAAGUCGGAUGUGAAAGCCCCGGGCUCAACCUGGGAAUUGCAUUCGAUACUGCCGAACUAGAGUAUGGUAGAGGGAAGUGGAAUUUCCGGUGUAGCGGUGAAAUGCGUAGAUAUCGGAAGGAACACCAGUGGCGAAGGCGACUUCCUGGGCCAAUACUGACGCUGAGGUGCGAAAGCGUGGGGAGCAAACAGGAUUAGAAACCCCGGUAGUCC